rnacentral:rRNA from 1 species
AACUUUCAACAACGGAUCUCUUGGUUCUGGCAUCGAUGAAGAACGC